AUUUCAACGGCCGCGGUAUCCUAACCGUGCAAAGGUAGCGUAAUCACUUGUCCUUUAAAUAAGGACCCGUAUGAAUGGCUAAUUGAGGGUGACACUGUCUCAUACGAUUAAUCAAUGAACCUGAUCUCCCAGUACAAAAGCUGGGAUAAAACCACAAGACGAGAAGACCCUGUGGAGCUUAAAGCCAAAAUACUGACUCACCCUAAAACAGUAUUCACCUUAAGUUGGGGCAACUACGGAGAAAAACAGAACCUCCGCGAUAAAGGAGCUUAACACCACCAAGGGGACACCCCAAAAAGUGAUGCCCCUUAUGACCCAGUAAAACUGAGUACCGAACCAAGUUACCCCAGGGAUAACAGCGCCAUCCCCCUCAAGAGUCCACAUCAACAGGGGGGCUUACGACCUCGAUGUUGGAUCAGGACACCCAGGUGGUGCAGCCGCUACCAAUGGUCCGUUUGUUCAACGGCUAACGUCCU
rnacentral:rRNA from 1 species